rnacentral:rRNA from 1 species
AUGGUGCAAUUGUCACAUGGGUCUGAUGUAUUUCGAUGGAACCUACAUGGGAAUGGACAAUUCUCAGUGGAGUCUAUGUAUAGAGCAUUAAUCUUGUCUGAGAUGCCAGUUGAUAAUAACAAGAAGAUCUGAAAGAUGAAGAUACCUAUUAAGAAUAAAAUAUUUGCAUGGUAUCUUCGUCGCGGAGUCAUUCUUACUAAAGAUAAUCUUAUCAAGAGGAAUUGGCAUGGAAAUUCGCAAUGUGUUUUUUGUUAUCAUGAUGAGACAAUAAAACAUUUAUUCUUUCAAUGCAAAUUGGCUCGGUCUAUAUGGUCAGUCAUCCAGAUAGCUUCUGGCUUGUAUCCUCCUUGUAGUGUUGCUAAUGUAUUUCGCAAGUGA